rnacentral:rRNA from 1 species
UACGGAGGGAGCUAGCGUUGUUCGGAAUUACUGGGCGUAAAGCGCACGUAGGCGGCUUUGUAAGUUAGAGGUGAAAGCCCGGAGCUCAACUCCGGAACUGCCUUUAAGACUGCAUCGCUUGAAUCCAGGAGAGGUGAGUGGAAUUCCGAGUGUAGAGGUGAAAUUCGUAGAUAUUCGGAAGAACACCAGUGGCGAAGGCGGCUCACUGGACUGGGUAUUGACGCUGAGGUGCGAAAAGCGUGGGGGAGCGAACAGG